rnacentral:rRNA from 2 species
UUUGUAUAAUGGGUCAGCGACUUAUAUUCAGUGGCAAGGUUAACCAUCUAGGGGAGCCGUAGGGAAACCGAGUCUUAACUGGGCGUUCAGUCUCUGGAUAUAGACCCGAAACCAGGUGAUCUAGCCAUGGGCAGGUUGAAGGUUGAGUAACAUCAACUGGAGGACCGAACCGACUAAUGUUGAAAAAUUAGCGGAUGACUUGUGGCUAGGGGUGAAAGGCCAAUCAAACCUGGAGAUAGCUGGUUCUCCCCGAAAGCUAUUUAGGUAGCGCCUCGGACGAAUACUACUGGGGGUAGAGCACUGUUAAGGCUAGGGGGUCAUCCCGACUUACCAACCCUUUGCAAACUCCGAAUACCAGUAAGUACUAUCCGGGAGACACACGGCGGGUGCUAACGUCCGUCGUGGAGAGGGAAACAACCCAGACCGCCAGCUAAGGUCCCAAAUUACUACUAAGUGGGAAACGAUGUGGGAAGGCUCAGACAGCCAGGAUGUUGGCUUAGAAGCAGCCAUCAUUUAAAGAAAGCGUAAUAGCUCACUGGUCGAGUCGGCCUGCGCGGAAGAUGUAACGGGGCUAAGUAGUAAACCGAAGCUGCGGCAAUAUACUUUUGUAUAUUGGGUAGGGGAGCGUUCUGUAAGCGGUUGAAGGUGUGUGGUAACGCAUGCUGGACGUAUCAGAAGUGCGAAUGCUGACAUGAGUAACGAUAAAGGGGGUGAAAAACCUCCUCGCCGGAAGACCAAGGGUUCCUGUCCAACGUUAAUCGGGGCAGGGUAAGUCGACCCCUAAGGCGAGGCCGAAAGGCGUAGUCGAUGGGAAACGGGUUAAUAUUCCCGUACUUCUUACAAUUGCGAUGGGGGGACGGAGAAGGCUAGGUGGGCCUGGCGACGGUUGU